GGGGGCGUGGUGGAGCUGGUUACCACGCCGGCCUGUCAAGCCGGAGGUCGCGGGUUCGAGCCCCGUCGCUCCCG
rnacentral:tRNA from 1 species